UUUUUUUUUUUUUUUUUUUUGUAUUUCAAAAAUUUUAUUGAUUUCCCAUUUUUUAUACAGUAUAUCCAUAUUUCAAUAUAUCUCAUACAUUUUGAACUUCCUUCAGCGUCAUUGACAUUCAUUCGUAUUUAUAUCUUUAAAACACAUUCCAUUCUUUCAUAUUGCCAUUCGUUCCUUCCUUCAUACAUUAUUUCUAUUAAACAAUACUUAUUAAUUCUUUACAGUGCCUCUUUAAAUCCCACUAGCGUUGUAUUUACAAAACAUUUAUUCUCCAGAUAACCCACAAAUUUCCCCAGUCCUCAAUAAACUUUUGAUCCUUAGUAUAUCUGAUUUUCCCUGUUAAUUUAUCCAACUCAGCGUAUUCUGUCAGUUUUACUCUCCACUCUGCUAUCGUUGGGAUUUCUUCCUGCUUCCACUUCUGAGCUAUCACAAUUCUGGCUGCCGUUACCGCAUACUGGAAGAGUUUGCAAUCCUUCCUUCUGAUAUCCUUUCCCACAAUGCCUAAUAAAAAGGCUUCUGGCUUUUUUACAAAAGUAUAACUUAACAUCUUUUUCAUUUCGUUGUAAAUUUCAUCCCAGAAGCUUUUAACUUUCUUACACUCCCACCAUUGAUGAUAAAAAGUCCCUUCCUUUUGUUUACAUUUCCAGCAUUUGUUAUCUGCCUUAUACAUCUUAGCCAGUUUUACAGGUGUCAUAUACCACCUGUAGAGCAUCUUCAUCACAUUUUCUCUCAGUAACGUGCAUGCCGUAAAUUUUAUGUUCACUCUCCAUAACUUUUCCCAAUCCUCUAGUUGAAUGUUAUAACCGAAAUCCCUAGCCCAUUGUACCAUGACAGAUUUUACUUCCUCCUCCUUCGUGUUCCACUCUAACAAUAUUUUAUACAUUUUUGACAGGUUUUUAUAUUCGUUGUUUAUUAUCUCUUUUUGAAAUUCCGAUUCCUUUUCCUCGUAACCCCUUUCCUUCACCUCUUCUUUAAACAUUUCAUUUAUCUGAAAAUAGUGCAGCCAGUCAUAUGUAAAUACUUUAACCUGAUCGUAUGAUUUUACUUUCCACUUCCCUCCUUCAUUAGUAACCAUUUCUCCAUACUUUCCCCACUUUUCUCUCAUGUUAACUUUCUUUACACUUAUUAUCUCCAACGGGGAUAGCCAAUGUGGGGUUUUCGGUUCUAAUAUAUUUUUAUAUCUGUCCCAGACCUCUAUUAGUGGACCUUUAAAGAUGUGGCUACAAAAUUCUUUAUGCACUCUCUUUUAUCCCUCCAUAGAUACGCAUGCCACCCAAAUCUAUUAUUGUGCCCUUCCAGAUCUAGUAGUUCUUUAUUCUCCAACUUUACCCAUUCUUUUAUCCAACACAGACAUGCUGCUUCGUAAUACAGUCUCAUGUCUGGUAGGGCGAAGCCCCCUCUUUCUGUUACAUCUGUUAAUAACUUAAACUUAAUUCUGGGCUUCUUUCCUUCCCAGACGUAUCUAGAGAUCACCUUUUGCCAUUCUUUAAAGUUUUUUGUACCUUUUAAUAUGGGUAUCGUUUGGAAUAAAAAUAACAACUUUGGGAGCACCAUCAUUUUGACCAUAGAUAUUCUUCCCCAGAAUGAUAAUUUCAUCCUGGCCCAGACCUCCAGAUCUUUUUUAAUUCCAUUCCAAACCGGGGUGUAGUUAUUUUGGUAUAAAUCGAUGUUUUUGUUGGUAAGCCAGAGUCCCAAGUAUUUAACCUUUUAACAACCUCAAUUUCGGUUCGUUGCUGUACUAAUUCAAUCUUAUCCUGAUCUAAGUUUUUAACAAUCAUUUUUGUCUUACUCUUAUUCAAUUUAAAUCCUGCUAGCUUCCCAAAUUUCUCCAUCUCUUCCAAAAUCUCCCUUAUACUCUCUAUAGGUUCUUCCACUGUUAAGACCACAUCAUCUGCGUAGGCUUUAACUUUGUACUCAUUUGAACCUAAUGUUACCCCUUUAAUUUGUUUAUUUUGUCUUAUUGCAUUUAGUAAGACUUCCAAAACCACAAUAAAGAGCAACGGCGAAAGCGG
rnacentral:lncRNA from 1 species